rnacentral:hammerhead_ribozyme from 1 species
CUCAACUGACAAAUGCCAAAUAGGACGAAACGCGAGUCCUGUAG